rnacentral:misc_RNA from 1 species
GAUGAAGAACGCAGCGAAAUGCGAUAAGUAAUGUGAAUUGCAGAACUCAGUGAAUCAUCGAAUCUUUGAACGCACAUUGCGCCCCUUGGUAUCCCGAGGGGCAUGCCUGUUCGAGCGUCAUUUCACCACUCAAGCCUGGCUUGGUGUUGGGCGACGUCCCCUUUGGGGACGCGCCUCGAAACGCUCGGCGGCGUGGCACCGGCUUUAAGCGUAGCAGAAUCUUUCGCUUUGGAAGUCGGGGCCCCGUCUGCCGGAAGACCUACUCGCAAGGUUGACCUCGGAUCAGGCAGGGAUACCCGCUGAACUUAAGCAUAUCAAUAAGCGGAGGA